rnacentral:rRNA from 1 species
UACGGAGGGUGCGAGCGUUGUUCGGAAUCACUGGGCGUAAAGGGCGUGUAGGCGGUCCGCUAAGUCUGAUGUGAAAGCCCGGGGCUCACCCCCGGAAGUGCAUUGGAAACUGGCGGACUCGAGUCCCGGAGAGGAGAGUGGAAUUCCUGGUGUAGCGGUGAAAUGCGUAGAUAUCAGGAAGAACACCAAUGGCGAAGGCAGCUCUCUGGGACGGUACUGACGCUGAGACGCGAAAGCGUGGGGAGCGAACAGG